rnacentral:ncRNA from 1 species
AACGACCCGCCGCCGGGCGGGUGAGCGCUGGCCCCUGCGUCGUUAGGCCUUUGAAGACGCGGGCGACCGGCGCUUUUUGUAU